ACAAUUUCUCUCCUCUCUCCCCCAAUUCAUCGUCUCUCUCUCUCUCUCUCCAGGCUGUAGCGAUUUCAAUCUUUAAACUCUUAAUUGGAUCUUUAACAUUAGCGACUGAAGCCCGUAUUUUGCCUUCUUCUCAAUGGAUAUCAUCCUUUAAAGAUAAGAAAUAGUUAUUGGAGUACAUUAAUAAACAAACCUUCAAGGUCCCCACUCGUACAUAUGACAUCGGAUCAUAGUUGGACGAUGCUUCGGUCAGAUGAAGGAUUUCUUUCAGACAGAUUUAUUGAAGAGGUUGAAGAAUUCAUUAAAUUUUCCAUAUCUCAAAUAGGAGUUGGAGAUAUAAUUAAAUGCCCAUGCUCUAUAUCUAACAAUAGAAGGUUUCUAAAAGGGGAUGAUGUGAAAUUUCAUAUUUAUAAAAAUGGAUUUACAAGGGGCUAUACGCAAUGGAAUGCACAUGGAGAACCAUUUAUUUUCAGUGGCCCAGAUUUAGCUGAAUCUCAACUAUACGAGCUACAACAAACUAUACCCAUGAAGCAAUGAUGAUAGAUGCGAUGGGUCCAGAAUUGUACAAUGAUUAUAUUACUCCAAAUGUUUGUGGACACAAGGAACAAGCCCCAAAUCAACAUGCAUCAAAUUUCUUUAGACUAUUACAAGAAGUUGACAAACCUGUUUGGCUUGAUUGUAGUUCCUACACCACUUAAAAAAGAAGGUGAAAAAUCGGGCUAAUCUAGAGGCAUAUAUGUUGAGGCAUACCUAGUAGAAGAAAUGUCAACUUUUUGCUCUUUGUAUUUUGAUCAACUUAUUGAAACAAGGUUGAAUCGUGUGUCGAGAAAUGAUGAUGGAGAUUUUGUCAAUCCUAAAUGACGACUAUCAAUUUUUACUCACCCUGGACGAUCCUUUGGCGUUUAGCAUCAUAAUGUCAGAUUAAUGACAACUUAGGAAUUCAGAGCAGCUUCAAUGUAUGUUCUCUUGAGUUGAGAGGAAGUAACCCCUUUUGUGGCUUGAAUUGUAGAGUUGUUCGCUGCAUUAUAGUUUUUCACUUCAUGUAGGAAGCUUGAUAAGCAUAGGAGAACAUUGUAUCCCCAAAUUUCUAAUGCACAAUUUAAUGGUUUACGCGAGGAACAUUUUUCACGUUGGUUGAGGGAAUACGUAAGUGAUUAUGCAAAUAUUGUCUCCACUGCCUACAAAGUAUUUGAUAAAAUGAGUUCUAAUACACAUUAUUUAUUCUGUUUAGGUUUUGGAAGAUCAUAAUGCAGUUGAUAAUCACAUUAAGGCUUUCUCGUACAAUCAAAUGUUAUAACGAAUACUUUGUCAAUGGUUUUGAGUUUCACACUUAAGACUAUGGUUCUAACAAAGCAACAAUGAAUAGUGGUGUUUGCGUACUGGGAAGUUGUCAUAAUGAUAAUAAGCGUGACUACUAUGGUAGGUUAACUGAAAUAUUAGAACUAAAUUAUUUAGGGGAUAUUGUAAACAAGGUUAUUUUAUUCAAGUGUGAUUGGUUUGACACCAAUGGUGGGGUUAGAGUCCAUUGAAGAUUCAAUCUCGUCGAGCUUAAUCAUAAGAAGAAACUACCGGUAAAUGAUGUAUUUAUACUUGCUCAACAAGUAUAUUACACGUGUUUUCCUACAAAUGCUAGAGAUAGAGUUGAUUGAUGGGUGGUUGUGAAAACAAAAGCAAUAAAUGUUCGCAAUAUACAAGGAAUCAUAUUGGAGAAUGAAGAGUGUAAUGUGUGGGUGGAACUUGCAUUCCAAGAGGAUCAACCAUUGUCUACCCAGUAACUUGUUUAAAUAUCAGAGUUCGAUCGCCAAAAUUUAGAUUGUGACGAUGUUGGGGCUGAAGAAGUAGUCUAGCUUGACUCUAGGAUGUCCAAUAUGGAAGUAGAAGAAAAUGUAGAACCAGAAUACGUUGAUAAUAGUGAUGGUUUCACAACAACUGUAAGUAAAGGAGAAAAUUGUAUUCUUAUUAUUCUUUUGGUUUUUAGUUCAUUUGUUAGUUUUAUGUCAUUGUUCAUAUUUUUCAUGGACUUAAGAGCCUCACCUUGCAGUAGGAAAGUGUUCGUUGUUGGGACGGGUUCAAACUGGACUGAAGGGAGGAGGAAUUUAAUACUCCGAUCUUCCUGGGGAUUCAUCAUUGGCUAGGGAUUUUGCAGGAUAACAUCUAACCAGUAUAUGAGAAAGAGAAUGGUGGCGAGAAGGGUGCUACAUGAGGAGCUAUGGUGUUUCAAGAAACUAAAUUUUAGCAAUUGAGUGAUUUUGAGAAAUGGUGAUUCAAGAAUCCAAUUAUGGCGAUCUGCACUGCAGCCAAGCCCAUGUCAAAUACCAGCAGAAAUCUCCUAACUAAACUUGCUAGUACCCAUUCUCUACGUGUUUAAAUUGGACCCCUUGUAUCUGUUCGAUAAUAAUGAAUUUAUGUGCUGAGUGCUACCUUGAAUUCAUGCUGGACACAAUUUGUUUUGUUGGCACUCCUUGUAUCUUGGUGCACAAUCUUGUAUUCUAUUUGAGACCUCUACUGCCUUGGACGUUUUAAUGUUAUUUCUUUAGUUGGUUUGUUAAUAAUUUGAUGUUGUGGCUUUCAAAGUCUAGCAAAGU